GGUCAAUGGCCUAACGGCUGAACCAGCAACUUGGGGGAAUGGUUAUAUUUUAGAGAUAAUAUAUAGUACCGUACUCUGUCGGAUAAAGUUCUAGAUAGAAUAAUGAUAAUGACAAUUUUCUAUCUAUAUGUCUUGACCAAAUCUUGUGCCAGCAGUCGCGGCAACACAAGGGAGACUAGUGUUAUUCAUCUUUAUUAGGUUUAAAGGGUACCUAGACGGUAUAUUAAGCCCCCAAAGGGAACGGAUAUACUAGAGUUUUAUGUGAGAGGUAAAUAUAGUACUAUUGGUGUAGAGAUAAAAUUCAUUGAUACCUCUAGGCACGGGUAACGGCGAAGGCAAUCCUCUAUGUAAAAACUGACGUUGAGGGACGAAGGCUUGGGGAGCGAAUAGGAUUAGAUACCCUAGUAGUCCAAGCAGACAAUUAUGAAUGUCAUAGAUUAGAAGAAUUUUUGAUCUAUAAAUGAAAGUGUAAGCAUUCCACCUCAAGAGUAAAGCGGCAACGUUGGAACUGAAAUCAUUAGACCGUUUCUGAAACCAGUAGUGAAGUAUGUUAUUUAAUUCGAUGAUCCUCGAAAAAUCUUACCACAAUUUGAAUGUUAAUUAAUAAAUUAACACAGGCGUUGCAUGGCUGUCUUCAGUUAAUGUCGUGAGAUUUGGUUAGAUCCAAAAAAUUAUCGUAAACCCUUGUUCUUUAUUUGUUUGAAUAAUGCAGUUAACCGCUAUAUUGGAUUAUAUAAC
rnacentral:rRNA from 1 species